CCCCUCUCAGGGUAGCACCUGGAGACUUUCUGGUACUCUACCAGUCUCGGCUACAGGAAGGAGAGUCAAGCAGAGGCGUACCCAUUCCAUUCCUUGCUUGGGCAGUGGCUAGUGAGUGGAAGGCAAUCUGCUACAAGU